CGGGGGCGACGGGCGGAACUUAAGCAUAUCAGUACGCCCCGGAGGAGAAACCAACCGGGAUUCCCCGUAGCGGCGAGCGACGCGGGAGGAGCCCGCCCCGAAGGCGCGCUGUGGGGCGCAGGCGCAGGCCCGCCGCGAGGGGGCCCGAGGGCCCCGCCCGAGAGGGUGCAAGCCCCGUACGGCGGCCGCCGGGCCUGCGCGGCGAGUAGCGCUGCUUGAGCGUGCAGCGCGAAGGGAGGCGCGGCCCUUCCAAGGCUAAAUACGCCCCGGGACCGAUAGCGGACCAAGUAGCGCGAGCGAACGGUGAAAAGGACGCCCUGCGGCCGCUCAAAGACCUGAACCCGGCCGGCCGCCGGCCCGCGCGGCCCCGUCUC